GCGCCUGUAGCUCAGUGGAUAGAGUGUCCGUUUCCUAAGCGGAAUGCCGUAGGUGCG
rnacentral:tRNA from 1 species